GCUUCGGUGGUGUAGUGGUAAGAGCACGCGUCCCCGAAUAGGAUAAAACGCAGGUUUGAUUCCCGUCUGAGGCC